UCCGCCAGGCUCGAUAAGAACCCCUCCUCUCUGUCUCCCCCUCUUCUGUCAGUGCUAGGGUGUAGCUACUGAUCCUAUACUACAGCAGAGAGAGGGACAUCAGGUGUCACAGCUCUGCAACCCCGGCUGAGGCUGCAUUACCACGGCAACCGGCUCCAGGGGUGCUGCCAGCUCUCUGCCUCGCCAGCCCAGCACCCAGCCGGCCACCCAGCCAGCCAUCCAGCCAUCCAGCCAUCCAUCCGCCCAGCCAACCAGCCCGCCAGGCCGGCCCUACCCUGCCCAGAACUGUCAACCUGCAGGAGUCAUCAGGAGAGCAGCGACUCCUCCCAAGUCCUCACUUCAUUUUUUCCCCCACGUCAGUUCUCUUAUGACACGAGUCCAAUAUAAUAUCCCAGCAGCUUUCUGAGACGACGUGAGAAAAAGACAGAGGAUGUUUGUGAGGACCGUCUCAAAAAGAUUUAGAUAGAUUCAGAUUUCCUGAGUUGUCACAGAUGUAGCGAAGAUUAGGAGGGAGAGGAAGAGGGAGAGCUGACUCCGAGCCCCCCGGGGAGGACGCAAUGAGGUGGAACCACUUCUCUGGUUUCCAGUGGAGAUGCACAGAUCCACCAUCAGAGCGCCAUCUGCUGGAUCGGUGGGGCGGGACAGCUGGUGUUGUGAAUCAGGCCGCCGCAAUCCAGGGACCGGCUACUUCCCAACACCAGGGUCUCACUCUCACCCCUCACGUCUUCACUGGCGUUCACCUCUCCUGAAUCCUGAAGGAUACAGCCCGCAUAUAUUUUAGAUUAGCACUCUCUUAUGGCUGAUGUAACAGUGAUUGAUUACUUAUAACACUCGUACUUAUCUGUCCAAAUCUGUGCAAAGUUGUCCUCUCAAUUUAUGAUCAGAAAAAGCACAGAAAACACCCUAAAUAAAAUGCCACACCCCAUAAAACAAACAUAACAAACGAUGUUGUCAUUUAUGAUUAAAACAGUCUUUUUCCAAAUUAAAUAAAUGAAAUAUACAUUUCAUAAAUGUGUCUGUGGCUUAAUCCGUUUAUUGGCUGGGAAUGAAAGCACAUGGAAGUUACUGUUCACCUUUGUUUGAAAAUGUUGUCAUGUUUCAUUUGUUGUGUUUGGUGCAAAAUGACUGCAUAUAUUUUAUUAUUAAAGAUGGGUUUGAAUCACUCCUUCCCAAUAAUAAAUGCUGACUAAUGUAAUCCAGUGACAGUGGCAUCCCACAGGGCUCCGUUGGUGGACCAUUUUAUUUGAUAUUGUGGGUCCCCAUUAUCGGCAUGGUGAAAUUAUUCAAAUUGUUCCGAAAAUGCAUAAUAGUAAAAGAUUUGGCUUUAAUUUACAGUUAAUUACAGGCUACUAGUUGCACCACUUUAACAGUAAGUUGCUAUAUUAUUUCUUACAGUAAAUUAUAGUGGAAUGUCAGUUGAUCUAACCGUAGUUAUGCCUGAAUAUUACUGUGAUUUAGCAGUACGUUCCUGUAAGUUACUGUAUUUAACUGUAACUUCACAGUUUAUGUACACUGGAUUAUUGUGAUUUGGCAGAAAUACAGCAUUUCACUGUAAAUUCAUAGUUAAACUCCAUAUAUUACUGUGAUUUAACAGUAUAAAAUUACUUGCAUACAUUUCACAGUAAAAUUCUGAGUGUGAUGAAAUAUCACAGUAAAAGCCUGUGAGGUGAUAAUAAUGCAAUUUAUUGUGAAAUAUUACAGCUACAUAUUGUAAUUUUCUUGAAAUGAUUUGCAGUGCACUGUCAAAUAUUUGGCUGUACAUUUACAGUAAAUUACUAGCUACUAGUUGCAUCACUGUCAUAGUAAAUUGUUGUGAAAUGACAGCUGCGUACUGUGAUCUCAGCAAUGUCCACAUGUUACUGUGAUUCAGCAGGAUGUUCCUUUAAGAUUACUGUAUUUCACUGUACUCUCACAGGUA